CGGGUGAGAUGGAGAGUGUACCGCCGCCGAGGCGAAUGGACGCGGAACAGAGUAACAGACGCGUUGAUAACGGCGAUCGGCUGAUAGUGUGGCGGCGGCAGGGGGGCGCAGUGUUGCCAACGUCACCGGUAGAACGACGUGCCGGUCGGAGCCGCGCUGAGCCUUUAAAUGGAAGGCCGCUGCCAUCGCCGCCGCCGCCGGAGUCUCAAAUUAAACGUUUCUAAAAUAAGAGCUUUGGUCGUCGUCCCACACGUAGCGAUGGACCGCAAAAAACGAUACCCGAGUACAUUAUAUCGUGUAAAAUGACGUAAACUAUCGUUGUAUUUGGGUGCGAUGACUCGAACGACAAGACGGCGAAUUUAAGAAAUAGGUAUUGAAA